rnacentral:rRNA from 1 species
GACGAACGCUGGCGGCGUGCUUAACACAUGCAAGUCGAACGGAAAGGCCCUGCUUUUGUGGGGUGCUCGAGUGGCGAACGGGUGAGUAACACGUGAGUAACCUGCCCUUGACUUUGGGAUAACUUCAGGAAACUGGGGCUAAUACCGGAUAGGAGCUCCUGCUGCAUGGUGGGGGUUGGAAAGUUUCGGCGGUUGGGGAUGGACUCGCGGCUUAUCAGCUUGUUGGUGGGGUAGUUGCUUACCAAGGCUUUGACGGGUAGCCGGCCUGAGAGGGUGACCGGCCACAUUGGGACUGAGAUACGGCCCAGACUCCUACGGGAGACAGCAGUGGGGAGUAUGGCACAAUGGGCGGAAGCCUGAUGCAGCAACGCCGCGUGCGGGAUGACGGCCUUCGGGUUGUAAACCGCUUUCGCCUGUGACGAAGCGUGAGUGACGGUAAUGGGUAAAGAAGCACCGGCUAACUACGUG